rnacentral:lncRNA from 1 species
CAAAUGCCAUGACUUAUUCUCUUUUAAUGCUGAGUAAUAUUCCAUUGUGUAUAUAUACCACAUUUUCUUUAUCCAUUCAUCUACUGAAGGACAUCUAUGUUGGUUUCACAAUUUAGUUAUUGUGAAUUGUGUUGCUAUAAACAUUGAUGUGGCUGUGUCACUGUAGUAGGCUGUUUCUAAGUCCUUUGGAUAUAAACCAAGGAGUGGGAUAGCAGGGUCAAAUGGUAAUUCCCUUCCAAGUUUUCCAAGGAAUCUCCAUACUUCUUUCCAUAUUGGUUGUACCAAUUUGCAAUCCCACCUGGAGUAGAAACAUAUCUCAACAUCAUAAAAGCUAUCUAUGCAAAGCCCCAGGCCAACAUCAUUCUAAAUGGAGAAAAAUUGAAGGCAUUCCCUCUAAAAACUGGAACAAGACAGGGAUGCUCUUUUUCACUACUUCUAUUUAAGAUAGUUCUUGAAACUCUAUCCAGAGCAAUUAGACAGACAAAAGAAAUGAAUAUGAAAAGAAGAACUCAAACUAGCACUAUUUGCCAAUGACAUGACUCUAUACCAGAGGAUCCAAAACUUCCACCAGAAAACUUCUAGAACUAAUAAAUGAAUUCAGCAAAGUAGCAGGAUAUAAAAUCAACACCCAUAAAUCAAAGGAAUUUAUGUACAUUAGUGACAAAUCCUCUGAAAGAGAAACUAGGAAAACUACCCCAUUUACAAUUGCCUCAAAAAUAAAAUACUUGGGAAUCAACUUAACAAAAGAGGUGAAAGACUUUUACAAUGAAAAUUUCAGAAUGUUAAAGAAAGAAAUUAAAGAAGACCUUAGAAAAUGGAAAGGUAUCCCUUGUUCUUGAAUAGGCAGAAUUAAUAUUGUCAAAAUGACCAUACUACCAAAAGCACUAUACAGAUUUGAUGCAAUUCCAAUCAAAAUCCAAAUGACAUUCCUCAUAGAAAUAGAAAAGGCAAUAAUGAAAUUCUUCUGGAUAAAUAAGGGACCCAAAAUUGCCAAAGCAAUCCUUAGAAUUGAUGUGUGUGUGUGUGUGUGUGUGUGUGUGUGUGUGUGUGUGUGGUGUGUGGGGUCAGAAUCAAGAUUCUCUAGUUUUCAUAUGCAUAUGCAUUGACUUGUUAUUAUUAAUGAUAAUGCUUUACCCAAUAUGUUAUAGGGUUACUUUUGUUAUAAAAUAAAUGACCAUAUUUAUGUAAAUCUGUUUCACUGUUUCAUUUUUUUUUCAUUCAAAUGUGUGACUUCUCAGUUAAUCCAUGGUUUUCAUUGGUCUUUAUGUAAGAAUAACUGGUAGGUGUUAAUGCAAUUUAUCAGAUGAACAGUUAGCAGCACUUUUAAAGUUAUAUUUCAAAUCUGCUGAAUCAUAAAGUUAUUCCUUGCUAGAGACAUUUUAUAGGUAAAAAAGAGUAGCUGGAUAAUAAUGAUUGAAUUGCAUUCUUCUUUGUCCAAAAAAGCACAUUGGUUAGAGAUCACAAUAUCUUUAUAAAACUGGUUAGGCUCCUCCCAAGAGCAAGAUUCAAGUGGGUGGUUUUCCAGAUUGACUCUUAAAUCAUUGAUAUCAGUCUUAAAAGCUUAUCAUUUUAUCAGGAAUGUUAAUUUCUGCCUGGAAGGGUGACAGAUUACAUCAGCUCAAAAUUUCUGUCAAAGGUCAGCUUUAUAACAAUUUUCUUUCUUAUAGGUGUUUUUCAGCAAACGUUUGUAAAGGAUUGAUUCUAAACUCCUGGAAAGAAAUGUUUCCCUAGAUGUUGAAGUCAAAGACCAGCUAUCUUCUUUAUUCAGUUUAUUCUAACUUAAUCCUUCAACCUGGACAUAUAAAAUAGAAUUUAAAAUUUUUAUGAAUUGCUUUUCCUUCCACACUUGGUAAGAGUGGCUGCAAAACUGACAAUUCAAGCCAGUUAGAAUAAUACUGAAAAAUUUUACCUUGUUCAUAUGUUGAAAAGCUCUUCUACUUUCAGCAAGAUUAGAAUUUUUUUUUCACUUUCAAAAUGUUUAUUUAAAUCUUAAUUUUGAAAUACAUAUUUUUUUUAUGUUUGAAUCAAAUGGGGUAUAAUUUCUCCUUUUUCCAAGUGUACAGGUUGCAGAAUCACAUUGGUUAUACAGCCACAUUUAUACAUACAGCAAUACUACUGUCUAUUUUAUUCUGCUGCCCUUCCUAUCUCCCCUUCCCCUCCCCUCUCCUCCCAUCACCUCUCUCUACCCAAUCUAAUGUGACACAUUUCUUUUUUUUUCCCUCACAAUCUGAAUUCUCCAAAAACAAAAUAAAUAAAUAAAUAAAAUAAACCAAAAUUCAUAUG